UACGGAGGGUGCAAGCAUUAAUCGGAUUUAUUGGGCGUAAAGGGCGCGUAGGCGGGAAGAUAAGUCAGAUGUGAAAUCCUGGGGCUCAACCCCAGAACAGCAUUUGAAACUGUCUUUCUCAGAGGGUAGGCGGAGAAAAUGGAAUUCCACAAGUAGCGGUGAAAUGCGUAGAUAUGUGGAAGAACACCAGUGGCGAAGGCGAUUUUCUAGCUUAUACCUGACGCUAAAGCGCGAAAGCAAGGGGAGCAAACAGG
rnacentral:rRNA from 1 species